CAUGCAAGUCGAGCGGUAGCACAGAGAGCUUGCUCUCGGGUGACGAGCGGCGGACGGGUGAGUAAUGUCUGGGAAACUGCCUGAUGGAGGGGGAUAACUACUGGAAACGGUAGCUAAUACCGCAUAACGUCGCAAGACCAAAGUGGGGGACCUUCGGGCCUCAUGCCAUCAGAUGUGCCCAGAUGGGAUUAGCUGGUAGGUGGGGUAACGGCUCACCUAGGCGACGAUCCCUAGCUGGUCUGAGAGGAUGACCAGCCACACUGGAACUGAGACACGGUCCAGACUCCUACGGGAGGCAGCAGUGGGGAAUAUUGCACAAUGGGCGCAAGCCUGAUGCAGCCAUGCCGCGUGUGUGAAGAAGGCCUUCGGGUUGUAAAGCACUUUCAGCGGGGAGGAAGGCGGUGAGGUUAAUAACCUUAUCGAUUGACGUUACCCGCAGAAGAAGCACCGGCUAACUCCGUGCCAGCAGCCGCGGUAAUACGGAGGGUGCAAGCGUUAAUCGGAAUUACUGGGCGUAAAGCGCACGCAGGCGGUCUGUCAAGUCGGAUGUGAAAUCCCCGGGCUCAACCUGGGAACUGCAUUCGAAACUGGCAGGCUAGAGUCUUGUAGAGGGGGGUAGAAUUCCAGGUGUAGCGGUGAAAUGCGUAGAGAUCUGGAGGAAUACCGGUGGCGAAGGCGGCCCCCUGGACAAAGACUGACGCUCAGGUGCGAAAGCGUGGGGAGCAAACAGGAUUAGAUACCCUGGUAGUCCACGCUGUAAACGAUGUCGAUUUGGAGGUUGUGCCCUUGAGGCGUGGCUUCCGGAGCUAACGCGUUAAAUCGACCGCCUGGGGAGUACGGCCGCAAGGUUAAAACUCAAAUGAAUUGACGGGGGCCCGCACAAGCGGUGGAGCAUGUGGUUUAAUUCGAUGCAACGCGAAGAACCUUACCUGGUCUUGACAUCCACAGAACUUUCCAGAGAUGGAUUGGUGCCUUCGGGAACUGUGAGACAGGUGCUGCAUGGCUGUCGUCAGCUCGUGUUGUGAAAUGUUGGGUUAAGUCCCGCAACGAGCGCAACCCUUAUCCUUUGUUGCCAGCGGUUAGGCCGGGAACUCAAAGGAGACUGCCAGUGAUAAACUGGAGGAAGGUGGGGAUGACGUCAAGUCAUCAUGGCCCUUACGACCAGGGCUACACACGUGCUACAAUGGCAUAUACAAAGAGAAGCGACCUCGCGAGAGCAAGCGGACCUCAUAAAGUAUGUCGUAGUCCGGAUUGGAGUCUGCAACUCGACUCCAUGAAGUCGGAAUCGCUAGUAAUCGUAGAUCAGAAUGCUACGGUGAAUACGUUCCCGGGCCUUGUACACACCGCCCGUCACACCAUGGGAGUGGGUUGCAAAAGAAGUAGGUAGCUUAACCUUCGCGAGGGCGCCUACCACUUU
rnacentral:rRNA from 1 species